GAAUCUCUAUGUUCUUAUUUUGAGCCCACAGAACCGGCUGCUGCCCAAACCUCUCUCGCUGAAGUGGGUCUGUGAAUUCUUCACCUUUCAUUGAUCCGCUGCUCAAACUAAUCCGGUACCGGCUCGUUUCUCUGUCUUCUCAUGCUGCACAAUGACUCGCAGACGUGUCAGACGACUCGUGAGUAGAAAUGUUUGUGGUGAAAAAGGCUUCCAGACUCGGGUCAGAAGCAAAGCUGGUCUGGAGGAAGAGUCCAGACCAAUGAAAAGACGCUAAGCUUCAGUGUUUGGCAAAUGAAGAACAUUCAUACCAUCCUUCAAAAAAGCUUGGACGGCAAUAUCAAAUGUUUUUAAUCCAGUCAUGAAUGGAAAAUUUUGACUGGCUUUUUAGAUUUUUUUUAUUCCUGAAGCUGUGAGUAGUUGCCAUGGCAACAAUAUGCCAGAAUUGGAGUUGCAGAUUCAAGUUCCUAGCAGGAUUUGAACGACUUUCUGUAAUCGAGGAUGAAAGACAAACUCCUCAGUCGAGAAGAUGUAUGAAACUCCGGUCUCCUCGACUGCUGGCUGGGAUGUUUGAUCAGGACCGGAGCAGAAACUGUCAGCAGAAGCAUAAAGCCUGACUGAAUAAUCCCCAGAAAAGACAUUAUCGUAGCCGCAGCCAUAAAGACAACAAGGGCUAAUUAAAACUGCUGUUACAAGCAAACGAAUGGAGAGAGGAGCAGCACUCUUCUUCCCGGAUCUGGUCUGCAUCCUCCGUGUUUCGCUCUCGGGGAUAAAGCAUAAUGGCAUUUUCAGAGGGGUAGCAGGCAGAUUAAUCACACUGGGGGCAGCUUUAUUCAAUAAAACACGACACACACACACACAGAGCAGUCGUAUAUCGUGCUCAGAUCAGCUCGUUAAAGUGCGAGGAUCACCGAAGCCGUGAUGCAGCAAAAGCCAUGAGCUCCUCAGCUGUGAGAGGAGCAGUAAUUAUCAUUUUUAUGAGCACGUCGAGUCAAAGCAGGUUAUGAGGACCAUGGAUCAAUAGCUGCCAUGAAACAGACGUCUGCAUUUCUGCAGAAAAUAAAAAGAUUCCAGCUUACCGUCUUUCCCAAUCAGGAAGUCCAGGUAGCGACGGGGGUUUGAUCUUGCGCAGGCCGCAGCCCAUGGCUCCUCGGUGUGACGGUCAGCGCUCUGCAGGAACACGGAGAGAAGACAGAGCAAACAUGAAGACUCUUCUGCUUCAGGAACACGG